rnacentral:rRNA from 1 species
AACGAACGCUGGCGGCGUGCCUAACACAUGCAAGUCGAGCGAGAAAGUCCCUUCGGGGGCGAGUAAAGCGGCGGACGGGUGAGUAAUACAUGGAUAAUCUUCCCUCGAGCCUGGGAUAACCCUGCGAAAGUGGGGCUAAUACCGGAUAAGACCACAUGACACAUGUCACGGGGUAGAAGGUGGCUUGUAUUUAUAUGAGCUAUCACUUGAGGAUGAGUCCAUGGCCUAUCAGCUAGUUGGUGAGGUAAGAGCUUACCAAGGCUAUGACGGGUAGCUGGUCUGAGAGGACGACUAGCCACACUGGGACUGAGACACGGCCCAGACUCCUACGGGAGGCAGCAGUGGGGAAUAUUGGGCAAUGGGCGAAAGCCUGACCCAGCGACGCCGCGUGGGUGAUGAAGGCCUUCGGGUUGUAAGCUCUUUUACCUAGGAUGAUAAUGACAGUACCUGGAGAAUAAGACUCCGGCUAACUCCGUGCCAGCAGCCGAC